CUGUUUCAUGAGAUUGGCUUUGGGCCCUUCCUGCGCAGCUUAGGUGGAAGGCGAAGAAGGCCCCCUUCCGAGGGCCCGAGCCAUCAGUGAGAUACCACUUUGAAAGGACUAGAAUUCUAACCUUGUGCUAGGACCUACGGGUCAAGGGACGUAAACAGAACAACUAGAAUUCUAACCUUGUGCCAGGACCUACAGGUCAAGGGACAGUUUCAGGUAAACAG
rnacentral:ncRNA from 1 species